CAUCAUGCCUCCCAGCCACAGCAAAUACAGCCUGCCUAGACUUGGAAGAAUGUGUUGUUUCUGCAAACACAGCAUCAUUCUGCAUUGUUGUAACGGUGACUUGGGUAUCCUAGGGUAGCAACGACACCCACAUGGAGCUGGAGCACUGAGCCAUCUCCUGGUAUCAGAGAACAUUUGCUGAUUUUGCUGGCCUAAUUGUUGAGCUCCAGACUCUAUCUUAAUGGAAGUGGAUGGCAUUCCUGAGAUGGCACUCAAAGUCAUCCUGUUGCCUACAUAUGUACCUAUAGACAUGUCAAUGCACACCUAUGCAUUACAUACAAGUAUGUACCUGCAUACCCAAGCAUGCACAUACACACACACACACACACACACACACACACACACACACACCACAAAGCAAGGCUACUAGCACUUUUAUUUAACCAGUAAUAUAAUGAUGUUUAAAACAGUAAUAGCAAUAAUCACGUAUCAAAACUCACUGGCUGUGAUGAUAUUGGGUAUCCUCUUUAAUUUGUUUAUUAAACAAAGUUUAAGGUUAGUAUCAUCAUCAUUCUCAUUCUAUAGAUAAGAAAGCUUGUUAAAAACCUUGCCAACAUUAAUUGCAUCAUUAUUAUAAAGCUGAACCUCAGAUCUAGACCUGAUGAUGCAGACAUCUGGACAAGGACUCCUGUCAAAAACCGAGAAUAUGAUCUCUCCUGGUCAAGUGCCUCUUUGAACAUAUACUCUUGGUCCUCUCCCUCACCAUAAUCACUGAGAAAAUACAGGAAGAAAUUUUUCUUGGGAAGCAAUGAAGAAAUGGAAUCAAACUAAGAAAAAUUGAGAAUUAGAGCUCUGUACAGUGAAACAGAAACAGCCUUAAGGUAAGGGAUGGUGGGGGCAGUUGGGGUGAGAUGGUCAUUUUUUCUGUUGUGUUGCAAUCUGUUUCCGGUCUUUUGUCUAUGCUGCACGUAGCCACAUUUCUUCCCAGCAGGACGUUUACAACCGACGACUUAUCUUGUGUUAAUGAAAGCAGCAGCAGAAAUGGGGACCAAGGAAGAGGAGUAUCUCACUUCCUGUGCCAUAAUGGCAUCUGAUAGUGGCUAUCUCUUCAGCAUGUCACAUUUCUGCCAUUCUUUCCGAAGCUCCAGAUCCUGGGCUGGCUAGUCCUAGCUUCUGACUGGUGGCCCCACUGGCUGCUCUCUGUAAACAGACGUGUAUGUAUGCUAUGACUUUCCAGUUGAAGAAAAGUAUUACCCUUCUGUCUCUGGAGAUAAACUUUACGAUGACUUAACUCUGACCUUUUAUCUUUUCAACUCAGCUGCAUAACCGUGCAGAUAACAACCGGGUGGCUUUCUGUUUUCUAAACCUUGAAAAGCAUGCUAUGAGGUGACAGAGAGCAAUAAGAUGAAAGUAAGUACACUGCAUGUGUGUAAUGAUAUACUAAUUCAGAAGCUUCCAGAACUUGACGACUGACAUACUUCACAGAUGAAACAGUGCCUUUUCCACGGGUUAUUGAAGAGACUCAACAAAUGUGAUUGGAAGGCUUCCAUUAACAAGGUCCACAUUAACCACAGGUUAGAGAUCCAUAGCCAGGGACCUAAGGUUAAGACAUAGUACAGAGCAGAAUUAUCGGCAUGGUACAUGAGCUAAGUGAAAGAAGUUGUAUGCUGGGAGGGUAGAUAAACUCAAGGAAAGAGAGAGCAGGAGAAAGGGAAA